UGCUCAGUUUGAACCCCAUUGGAGUGCAGCCCCUAAACGUACUAAGAAGGGGCAUAUUGUGGUUAGGAGCGUGUAUUGGUGGCAUUGGGGAGUGCAAUACAUAGUACUACAUCAUGGUUCUUCCCUUGCCCCCAAGAACCUCCCUUUCCCCUUUCACCCUCCAUCUGAGUCAAACCUAGAUCCACCAGCCUCCUACAACAUGGAAGGGUAAUCACCCUGUAGUGUCUCUUCUACAAUUACCUAACUGUGGUAAUACUUUUGGGUUCCUGAGUCUGUUUCUCAUUUGGCUAAGGUCACAGGCCAAUUGUGUCCUGUUGGUCAAGAAAGAAGUCCUCUGAUACUGCCCCCACCUCCAGAUCCCACCCCUCAAAAGAACUCCCUGGGGUUGUGCCACAGGGCUUUCAGAAAGGGGCUGAGCAUGCGCCAUAGGCCUGCAGUCUCCCACUCACCUCCAGGAUCAGCUCCUCCAUCUCAAAUUGUCUUUGUGAGGCCUUGUCAUCCUCAGGGGGUUCGUGGUAAAGGAGUGCCAGCACCUCAUACUUCUUGAACACAUUCUUGUAGUUCUUUGCGUUGACAUUGAUCACACGGUCCACACCAUCGUACUCAGGAAAGUCCAGCCCUUCCUCCCCCUGGACCCCUGACUUAGGUGUCCCCAGGACCAACAAAAACAGCAGUGCCUGUCUCAGACCUGGCACUAUCCUGGCCCCCAUCCUCUCUGUAGCGCUCUUGGAGGUAGAGAGAUCUGGGUUGCUUCUCCUGGUCCAGAGGUGGUUAGCUGGGGAUAGGGAGGGGCCCCUAGGUACCAAAUCCUGAGUUAGGGGCUCCAGGUGGGGGUGGGGUAGGAAGUGGCCCAGAGCAGUAGACAGAGGACACUGCUGGGUCCUGGAGAAACUGCCGACAGAGCCAAGAGAAAAAGGGUCAGGAGGAGGAAUAAGAGCAGGGGGCGGGGAGGGAACCGGAGCUGCCCCCUGAAAUUGGCACCCCUUGGUCCCCACCUGGUCCUGUCUAAAUAUGUCUCCGUGGUUGGCAGGAGAGACAGAUAACCUUCCCAGGCUAGGACAGCUCCAUGAGGGCCUGAAUCCUCCCAUAUCCUACACCUCUCCCCCAGGCUCCCAGUGGCUCCUUCCCUCCCCCUCCCCCAUGUCCAGGGCUCCUCAGCCCCUGUCCCCAUGCAGGCCUAAGAGCUCAUCACCAUAUUAAGAAAGGAAAAGGGAGAGACACUGAUCUAAAAAUAAGACCAGAUGAGUCGGAGACAAAGACAGGAUUAGGUAUAAACACUGAGGGAAAAAAUUAACAGGAGGAAAACAUGAAUGUCAAUUGAUUCUGUGCACCUGAGACCUAAAGCAGCACUGCAGAGAAAGGGCUAAAAAUUCUGGAUUCCAGCUUGGAAGUGAGAACAGAGUGAAUGAGUUCAGCUCUGGGUCCUGAGGAAGGAUCAUUUUCAUGGCUCUCCAAGGCUGUUAUCAUACACAGACCAAGAAGAUGCACCCUGGGAAGGGAUUGAAUCAGGACCACAGUCGUUCUCUUGGGUGACAAAGUAAAGAGAUGGCCUACACCCUCAGCAACUUAGUGAGACCCUGACUCAGAAUAAAAAAGCGCCAGGUAUUGGAGAAAUGAAAAUGGUUACAUGAUAGUCUUUGGCCUCAAAGAGAUCAAGAGAAUCAGAAAAAAGAGGGUGAAUGCACACACAAAAUAAGGAACCACAAUAUUAGGUGUGCUGGGGAUUGAACCCAGGGCUUCAUGCUUUCGAGGCAAGCACUCUACCAACUGAGCUAUAUCCCUAGUCCAAGCUACUGUUAACAAAGCAUCUACCGUGACCCAAGCAUGCUCACUGCUUUAUAUCCAUUUCUCUGUGUAUUUCUCAACAUUCUGCCAGGUAUUGGGAUGAUCUCUCUCAUCCUGAAUCUCUUCCCUGUUUAUCCCUCACACUACUAUCUGAAACACUCCACUGUGGCAACUCAAGAACAAAGACGUUCAAUGACAUUCAAAUGUCUUUCAAGGCUGGCCCUAAUAUAAAUGCUUCCUAUAUCUGCAGCCUUAUUUUCUAUGAAGACUAAGAGCACCAGAAAACUGGUUUAUUUACUCUUCUGUAGGCAUACCAUGUGAACAUCCCUUCUCUGCUGGUCCCCUGACCAUAUAGUACCAAGGCUAAACACUAUGCUUCAAUGCCAAGUUAAGUUCUAUUUCCCCCAUAAAACCUCUCUGACUAUCUCAUAAUUGUCUAUGCAGGACCAUGGAGAUUAGAUGAUGGGCAAAGGGUCAUGUACACCAACACCUAGCUGAGUCUAAGGGUCAGUCCCAACCUUGGGCACCCUGCCUCCUCACCCUCCUCCACGCCUGUGACAAUGGAGGCAAAGUUGUCGUCCAGCAGGAUCAUGUCGGCUGCCUGCUUAGAGACGUCAGAGCCAGUGAUGCCCAUGGCGAUACCGAUGUCCGCCUUCUUCAGCGCUGGGGAGUCGUUCACCCCGUCACCUGUCACUGCCACAAUGGCUCCCUGGGGAAGUCCAGAAAGAGGUAGUGAACACACUAAUGAAUACAGAUUUAGGACGAGUCCCAAAGAUCGGUUUGACUUCAGCACCUCAUUUCUUUUCCUUUUUUCUUUUUGAGACAGGGUCUUACUAUGCUGCCCAAGUUGGGCUCAAACUCACACUCCUUCCACCUCAGUCUCCCAAUAGCUUAGGAUAUUAAAGGUGAGAAUCCCAUUUCUUGAUGGACUCGUGCUUGAUCUAGUAGUCUCAGCCCCUCCUUUUCCUGCUCCCCUGAGAUAUUUAAGCCCACAGAGAAACCCCAAACCAAAGGUCACUGUGGAGUCUUUUCUAGUCCAAUCCACAGGUCCCCCUGCUUGGUUUGGGGCUGGACUCUGCCUCAUGAUUUCUGCCAGGCUCUCCAGGGCUCCUUACCAGCCUCUGACAUCCCUCCACAAUGAUGAGCUUCUGCUGAGGAGAGGUCCGAGCAAACACA